AGAACCUUACCUGGUCUUGACAUCCACAGAACUUAGCAGAGAUGCUUUGGUGCCUUCGGGAACUGUGAGACAGGUGCUGCAUGGCUGUCGUCAGCUCGUGUUGUGAAAUGUUGGGUUAAGUCCCGCAACGAGCGCAACCCUUAUCCUUUGUUGCCAGCGGUCCGGCCGGGAACUCAAAGGAGACUGCCAGUGAUAAACUGGAGGAAGGUGGGGAUGACGUCAAGUCAUCAUGGCCCUUACGACCAGGGCUACACACGUGCUACAAUGGCGCAUACAAAGAGAAGCGACCUCGCGAGAGCAAGCGGACCUCAUAAAGUGCUUCUUAGUCCGGAUUGGAGUCUGCAACUCGAC
rnacentral:rRNA from 1 species